GCAAGUCGAGGGGCAGCAGGACACUUCGGUGUUGCUGGCGACCGGCGAACGGGUGCGUAACACGUAUGCAAUCUACCUUGUACUGGGGAAUAGCUUCUGGAAACGGAAAUUAAUACCCCAUACUCUCUUAAUAGCGCAUGCUAUAAAGAGGAAAGCUCCGGCGGUACAAGAUGAGCAUGCGUCCCAUUAGCUAGUUGGUAAGGUAACGGCUUACCAAGGCAACGAUGGGUAGGGGUUCUGAGAGGAAGAUC
rnacentral:rRNA from 1 species